AAAGUAAAAUACCGUAUUAGACUGAAGUUAAAUGGUAUGACAUUGCGGAACCUCAUGUCAUUUUUUAUCCUAGAAAAUAAAGGGAAUCCUCUAUUAACAUAAAAUUUUCUAGUUGCAAUAACAAGGAAUCAAAUCUAUAUACGCCGUCAAAGUAAAAAUUUGAUUUAUUACAUAAUUAAAAAUUAUUUCAAGUGAAUUAGCAGUUUCAUAAUGAUUUUGAGAAGAUUUUCUUCAACCCCAAAGUAUUUUUUUCAAAAGAACAAAAAGACUAAAAAGAAAUUAAAAAAUCUAUCUACAAAUAACUCGUUCAUUGGAACUUGAAUUGUGACAGAUUUAUAUUUAUUCACAAGGUUGAAUGUAAGUAAGAAAAUGUAAUUGCAACUGUCUCCAGUUGGAAUCUGAUAAUCUGUAUUGCUAAACAAGUUAAGAAUUGGAUUUUACACUACAAAAAAGAGAUUUUAUUUUUGUAACUAGUACAAGAGGGUCCUGAAUAUGGUAUUUUCAAAUGAAACUAUAAAUAACUUCAAGAACGCGUUAGGCAGUUUCAAAAGAAGUAUACAAAGUAAAAAUUGAAAAAUGUCCAAUGUCCAUACAUACAACAAAAAUGAAUUUUAUAAAAUAUAGGAAACCAUUGGAAUUAUUUGUAUAAGACUUAUGAAUUUUGUACGAAUAAAAUAAAUAAAA